rnacentral:sRNA from 1 species
AGAGCCAAACUGCAGAGAAGAAACAGGUGGAAUUUGUUGUUUUUCCUGCUUGGAUGAUUUUCCAAAGCUUCAGAUCAAACAUUGACCUUUCACCCAGGUGAACGACAGUGUAGUGAGAAAACUCUCUUCCCUGUUGGAAGGACAUAGGCGGUGGAAGCCUGUCCCUGGACGGCUGCUGAGCUGAGUGGUGACUAUGAGCAAUUGCCAUCUGACAGUUAUUCUGUGGCUUAAGGAAAAUGGCUGUGGUCACGCUCCGAUUCCUGCUGGACAGAAUAAUGCUGAGCACGCAGCCUGGGCCUGACUACGAACAGCUAAACCUGAACCCUGGCCGUGCUUCAGUCAAUAAAGAUGAAAAGGCUGACUCAGACUUAGGAACAGUCACAAAAGGGCUCCAUGCUGCAUCCGUAAAUCUAACCCGGAGUCUAAAAAUCCCAGCAGUACCUUCCGGUGGUGUAUCCAGAUGACAACAUAAGAAUAUCUUGUAUACGGAAACUGAAGAUCAAGAAAUUCUUUCAAUUUGGGGGCAAUUUCAUAAUCUAGAAUUGAAAAUAGAUAGUAUAAAACCAUUCUAGUUAUCUUCUAUCUCUUAGGAACAAAAGCUGUUCGUUGAUUUAGUAAACAUUUAUUGGCUUGUACCUGUGCCAAGAUAUCUUGACUCCAUAAAAGAUUUUCCUUCCCUUCCAACCUAAUGGUGUCUACACCCAAACUUUUAAAAAUUAACAACAGAGUGGAGGACAUUCUUAGCAAUGUGAUUUACUCUUUGGUCAUGAAAGGAGAAACCUUCUGAGGUCAGUCUCAUGACUGUGAUGGUAAGGUUUGUAUGUCCAAGAGACACCAUCCAAGCCCAGAUGACAGUGGCUGGCCUUUUGUUGUUGGCAGUAUAGUUAAAUGGGUUUAUUUGCCUAUAGAAAUAAAACAAAAGGCUAUUGUUCACAAAAGUUUGGAAAAAGUCUCUGACGGCCAGGAAAAUUGAGGAUUAGAGAGCAUUAAGUAUAACGUGUGUGUGUGUGUGUGUGUGUGUGUGUGUGUGUGUGUUUCCUGAAUGCAUCUAUAAACAGUAUCCCUGUCCCCCAUUGAACAAUUGAAAGUAUCUGAAGGUUUGCCACAGCUCAUGAGACAGCACUGUGGGCGUCUAGAGAGACAAGGCCAUUGAGAUGCUAGUGAACUUGGCUCAGUACCCAGGAAGCCCCUCCACACAUGGUGAUAGAGUCGGGAUGGGACUUGCUGCCUUCUAAGGGCACUGGGACGCUUGUUUGAUGCAGAGUCCUAUAUGCUUCGAGAAGGCAAAUGUUGAAUUUUCUAAAAAAGACAGUUAUCGCAACACAGAGUCAAGCAGGAAGCAGGUCUACCUUUCUAAUACACUUGGCAUCAUCAUCAUUUUUCUAGUUUCCUGGCACGGUGGUAGCUAGCUGACAUCUGAUUGAUUUAGACAACAGAAAUCUGUCUCCCAAUUCUGCAGGCUGGAAGUCCAAGCUCAAGGUAGGGGCAAGCCUGACUGUUCAUCGGCACCGUGGGUAAAUCUCCCUCCUGCAGCACUCUUAGCACUUGCCGGUUUCUUUGCAACUAGCAUUUGUGUUGCUUUUCCACCCCUAUGUCUGCCUCCAUCUGCAUAUGGUGGCUUCUCUCUGCGUGUACCUGCAUAAACGUUUCCCUUUCGUUAAGAGAUCAGCCAUGCUGGAGUAGAGCCCACUUUCAUGAUUCUAACAUGCUACUCUACGUCUGUAUAAACUCCAUUUUCAAGUAGUACCAUGCUAGGAGACAGAAAGGAUUAGAACUCCAAUGCAUCUUAUUUGCACAGAUAUAAUACAGCCUGUGUGGUGCCCUGGGCCAGAACUAUUUUAGAAGGGGAAUAAGUGGCCGGGAUAGAACCCAGGAUCCUGUGUGUGCUAGGCAAGCACUCUGCCAUGGAGAUACCUCCCAACAACUGUACUUUAUGGGUUUCUGAAGGUCCUUUAUUCCUUUUGAGCACCUAGAAAGGCAAUCGUUUUUUAGUAGAGUAUAAAUACACAUGAAUACUCAAUUUACUGAUGAGCUCUCAUUCAUGACUUUGUACAUGCCAGACCAGUACAAUACCAUGGAGUUUUAACCCCAACCAUAAUGGGAAAGAUUUAAAUAAACAAACUUCCAUUGUAAAAAUAGUAUGAAAAGCCAUUCAUGGCACUUUCCUCCACUACAAAAAAUUAAAAAUUCUCUGCAAACAUAUGGGAACAGGUGAGGUACAGGUAAGGUAAGCGUGUCUAGAAAAUCUGCAACUGUUGUGAAAUAGAAUAUUAGCAACUUAAUUUGUUCUUGGAGGGAAACUGAGUCGGACAUAAUGAUCCAUUUUCUUUCCUAAGUGGUUUCCCAGAAGCUUACAGACCCCCUUGGUGGUCGGUGAGAUGGUUAAACAAAAGAGCCCAAUGUGCUCACCCAAUCCUGCCACCCGAAAGUGACCAGCCAAUAUUACCUGUGACCUUUCCCAGGCGUGUGAGCAGAAAACCCUUCUUGAAAGAGGGAGCGAUAAAGAAAUCUGGACUUCGUUCUUUCAUGGGUUUGCUCUUAGGAAUGUUUAUUGGCGAGACACUAAGAAUAAACCCAGUUAUUGAAGAGGGAGCUGGGAAGUUGACAAGCAUGGCUAAACCCAGCAGAGAAAUUUGAUGAGGAAAUUAGAUGCUGUGAAGAUGGUGUGUAGUGAUUAGUCUUCUGAAAGCCAGGAUUAUUAUAUAAGUGGGUGGGGGGAAGGGCAGGUUAUUGGGACAGUUUGACUCCAUUUAUACAGGUGUGCUCCUUGCCAUCAGACCCGAAAUGCAGCGUGUGUGUUUUUACAUUUCCAGCAAACCUUUCUCCAGAGAUGGAUACAAAGAGAUGGAUCGCUGGAGCAGCGUCAUUUCCCCCUUGAGUCUUAGGUUGCAGCAACGGGAGUUAGGGAUAAGAAAAAUGCACAGUCUAAACGUGUCCCUGCAGUAGGAUCUUAAAACUAAAGUGAUGUAUUUACAAUGCUGUAUAUUCGCUAGUAUUUGAGUAAGGCUCGUUCUAUACGCAGUGAGAAUGUUAGCUGCUUCAAGCAAGGCACUAUAAUAAUCACAAAAUCCAAAGAAGAGAGAGGCCUAAGUACACAAAGGGACAUUUUAUCUAUUUUCUUGUUAAAAGUAAUGGUUAAAUCUUUAAAACCUGUGUCUCCUCCACCAACAAGAGUGACUUUUCCAAGGGUUGGGGAUUUAGCU